ensembl:snRNA U6 U6 spliceosomal RNA
GUGCUUGCUUUGGCAGCACACAGGCAGAAAUUAGAAUAAUGCAGGGUAGAUGAGGAUGGCCCUAGUGCAGGAUAACACUCACGCUCUUGAGCUGUUCCAUAUUUUU